UACGUAGGGUGCAAGCGUUGUUCGGAAUUACUGGGCGUAAAGGGCGCGUAGGCGGCCUUCUAAGUCGAACGUGAAAUCCCCGGGCUCAACCCGGGAACUGCGUCCGAUACUGGAAGGCUUGAAUCCGGGAGAGGGAUGCGGAAUUCCAGGUGUAGCGGUGAAAUGCGUAGAUAUCUGGAGGAACACCGGUGGCGAAGGCGGCAUCCUGGACCGGUAUUGACGCUGAGGCGCGAAAGCCAGGGGAGCAAACGGGG
rnacentral:rRNA from 1 species